UAGGGGGCAAGCGUUGUCCGGAAUCAUUGGGCGUAAAGAGCGUGUAGGCGGCCAGAUAAGUCCGCUGUGAAAUCUCGAGGCUCAACUUCGAGCUGUCGGUGGAAACUGUCUGGCUAGAGUCCGGAAGAGGAGAAUGGAAUUCCUGGUGUAGCGGUGAAAUGCGCAGAUAUCAGGAAGAACACCCGUGGCGAAGGCGGUUCUCUGGGACGGUACUGACGCUGAGGAGCGAAAGCGUGGGGAGCGAACAGG
rnacentral:rRNA from 1 species